rnacentral:rRNA from 1 species
AACGAACGCUGGCGGCGUGCUUAACACAUGCAAGUCGAACGCGAAAGGGGAUUCGUCCCUGAGUAGAGUGGCGCACGGGUGAGUAACGCGUAGGUAAUCUACCCUGAUGGCUGGGAUAACCCUGCGAAAGUGGGGCUAAUACCGGAUACGCUCCUAAUGUCGCGAGGCAUAGGGAGGAAAUGAUGCCCUCUGUUUACAAGGUAUCGCAUGAGGAUGAGCCUGCGUACCAUUAGCUAGUUGGUAGGGUAAAGGCCUACCAAGGCGACGAUGGUUAGCGGGGCUGGGAGGAUGAUCCGGCACACUGGAACUGGAACACGGACCAGACUCCUACGGGAGGCAGCAGUGAGGAAUUUUGCGCAAUGGGCGAAAGCCUGACGCAGCGACGCCGCGUGGGUGAAGAAGGUUUUCGGAUCGUAAAGCCCUGUCAAGCGGGAAGAACGGUCCUCUGGUGAACAAUCAGGGGAAUUGACGGUACCGCUGAAGGAAGCACCGGCUAACUCCGUGCCAGCCGCCGCCGUAAUAC